GGGGACGAAAGGCUUCGACAAGAACCGUUUCCUAGAUUUGCGAGCCGACUGUGAAGUCGUUAAUCUCACAAACCAAUUAUAACUGCCACACAACGUGUAGCAGCUCCUGCUUUCGCUUUAGCUUAAGCAGGCAUGAGCUUAGUCUGGACCUCUUAGAUUAAGACCUCGUGUUAUACAAGGAGGCUCGCCAAGCACAUGUGCUCCGCUAUGUGCUCGGUUAAACCAAAGCAGAGCACGUAUGUUCGGUCUCACCGAAAUACGCUCGUAGACGGUUUAGGCAAAUAAUUUUUGGACGUGGCUUCAAUGCCACCGUCUCCACUG
rnacentral:tmRNA from 1 species